CUGCCCAUCAGACGGGGACAACGAUUGGCAUCGAUCGCUAAUACCGGAUAGGACGAAAGUUUAAAGGUGCUUCGGCACCACUGAUGGAUGAGCCUGCGGCGCAUUAGCUAGUUGGUAGGGUAAAGGCCUACCAAGGCGACGAUGCGUAGCCGACCUGAGAGGGUGAACGGCCACACUGGGACUGAGACACGGCCCAGACUCCUACGGGAGGCAGCAGUAGGGAAUCUUCGGCAAUGGGCGAAAGCCUGACCGAGCAACGCCGCGUGAAUGAUGAAGGCCUUCGGGUUGUAAAAUUCUGGUAUAAGGGAAGAAUGGCUCUAGUAUGAAAUGGCUAGAGUGUGACGGUACCUUAUGAGAAAGCCACGGCUAACUACGUGCCAGCAGCCGCGGUAAUACGUAGGUGGCGAGCGUUAUCCGGAAUUAUUGGGCGUAAAGAGCGCGCAGGUGGUUGAUUGAGUCUGAUGUGAAAGCCCACGGCUUAACCGUGGAGGGUCAUUGGAAACUGGUCAACUUGAGUGCAGAAGAGGGAAGUGGAAUUCCAUGUGUAGCGGUGAAAUGCGUAGAGAUAUGGAGGAACACCAGUGGCGAAGGCGGCUUCCUGGUCUGUAACUGACACUGAGGCGCGAAAGCGUGGGGAGCAAACAGGAUUAGAUACCCUGGUAGUCCACGCCGUAAACGAUGAGUGCUAAGUGUUGGGGGUCGAACCUCAGUGCUGAAGUUAACGCAUUAAGCACUCCGCCUGGGGAGUACGGUCGCAAGACUGAAACUCAAAGGAAUUGACGGGGACCCGC
rnacentral:rRNA from 1 species